rnacentral:rRNA from 1 species
CCUACGGGGGGCAGCAGUGAGGAAUAUUGGUCAAUGGGCGAGAGCCUGAACCAGCCAAGUCGCGUGAGGGAGUACUGCCCUAUGGGUUGUAAACCUCUUUUGUCGGGGAGCAAAAGCCGGACGUGUUCGGCUGUGAGAGUACCCGAAGAAAAAGCAUCGGCGAACUUCGUUCCCGCAGCCGCGGUAAUACGGAGGAUGCGAGCGUUAUCCGGGUUUAUUGGGUUUAAAGGGGGCGCAGGCGGAUGUUUAAGUCAGCGGUCAAAUUGUGGGGCUCAACCCCCUCCAGCCGUUGAAACUGGGGAUCUAGAGUGGGAGAGAAGUAUGCGGAAUGCGUGGUGUAGCGGUGAAAUGCAUAGAUAUCACGCAGAACCCCGAUUGCGAAGGCAGCAUACCGGUGCACAACUGACGCUCAGGCACGAAAGCGUGGGUAUCGAACAGGAUUAGAUACCCUGGUAGUC